ensembl:lncRNA
CGCAGGCGCCCUUAGCGGCGAGCGAAGAGCGCGGGGAGCGUGACCCGAAGAGUUUGUUCCAACUGAACUUAUAGAGCGUAGCAGUCUUGAAGCGAUGUGUUCAGGAGCCGAUUUUUGUCGUUUCUUUGGGUUUUAUCUGUAAAGUGAUAUGGAUGAUUAUAGAAGUACUGGACUCAGAAGAGUUCUUGGGAAAGUGUUUAGAACAAUAUCAAGAAUAUAGAGACUACUGCUGGCGCUAGUGGUAGAAGAACCUGCCUGCCAAUGCAGACGUCGGAGCCGGGUUGGAUCCCUGGGCGUCAUGUCCAUCCUGUGCAAUCCAGGAUCACGAUCCACCAUCACAUUGUAAGUGCUUUUUAAAAAGGUCCUCUGAGUAGGUUUCAGGAGCAGUAACGCCUGAAGUUUUUCCCCAUGGAAAAGAAAUGUAAAAAAGCAAAAUGGCUGUCUGAGGAGGCCUUACAUAUAGCUGUGAAAAGAAGGGAAGCGAAAAGCAAAGGAGAAAAGGAAAGAUAUAAGCAUCUGAAUGCUGAGCUCCAACGAAUAGCAAGGAGAGAUAAGAAAGCCUUCCUCAGCGAUUAAUGCAAAGAAAUAGAGGAAAACAAUACAGUGACAAAGACUAGAGAUCUCUUCAAGAAAAUUAGAGAUACCAAGGGAACAUUUCAUGCAAAAAUGGGCUCGAUAAAGGACAGGAAUGGUAUGGACCUAACAGAAGCAGAAGAUAUUAAGAAGAGGUGGCAAGAAUACACAGAAGAACUGUACAAAAAAGAGCUUCACGACCAUAAUAAUCACGAUGGUGGGAUCACUCAUCCAGAGCCAGACAUCCUGGAAUGUGAAGUCAAGUGGGCCUUAGAAAGCAUCACUACGAACAAAGCUAGUGGAGGUAAUGGAAUUCCAGUUGAGCUAUUUCAAAUCCUGAAAGAUGCUGUGAAAGUGCUGCACUCAAUAUGCGAGCAAAUUUGGAAAACUCAGCAGUGGCCACAGGACUGGAAAAGGUCAGUUUUCAUUCCAGUCCCAAAGAGCGGCAAUGCCAAAGAAUGCUCAAACUACCACACAGUUGCACUCAUCUCACAUGCUAGUAAAGUAAUGCUCAAAAUUCUCCAAGCCAGGCUUCAGCAAUACGUGAACCACAAACUUCCAGAUGUUCAAGCUGGUUUUAGAAAAGGCAGAGGAACCAGAGAUCAAAUUGCCAAUAUCUGUUGGAUCAUUGAAAAAGCAAGAGAGUUCCAGAAAAACAUCUAUUUCUGCUUUAUUGACUAUGCCAAAGCCUUUGACUGUGUGGAUCACAAUAAACUGUGGAAAAUUCUUCAAGAGAUGGGAAUACAGACCACCUGACCUGCCUCUUGAGAAACCUAUAAGCAGGUCAGGAAGCAACAGUUAGAACUGGACAUGGAACAAUAGACUGGUUCCAGAUAGGAAAAGGAGUACGUCAAGGCUGUAUGUCACCCUGCUUAUUUAACUUACAUGCAGAGUACAUCAUGAAAAAUGCUGGGCUGGAAGAAGCACAAGCUGGAAUCAGGAUAGCCAGAAGAAAUAUCAGUAACCUCAGAUAUGCAGAUGACACCACCCUUAUGGCAGAAAGUGAAGAGGAACUAAAAAGCCUCUUGAUGAAAGUGAAAGAGAGAGUGAAAAAUUUGGCUUAAAGCUUAACAUUCAGAAAACUAAGAUCAUGGCAUCCGGUCUCAUCACUUCAUGGCAAAUAGAUGGGGAAACAGUGGAAACAGUGUCAGACUUUAUUUUUCUGGGCUCCAAAAUCACUGCAGAUGGUGAUUGUGGCCAUGAAAUUAGGAUGCUUACUCCUUGGAAGAAAAGUUAUGACCAACCUAGAUAGCAUAUUGAAAAGCAGAGAUAUUACUUUGCCAACAAAGGUCCGCCUAGUCAAGGCUAUGGUUUUUCCAGUGGUCAUGUAUGGAUGUGAGAGUUGGACUGUGAAGAAGGCUGACCACCAAAGAAUUGAUGCUUUUGAACUAUGGUGUUGGAGAAGACUCUUGAGAGUCCCGAUCCAACCAGUCCAUCCUAAAGGAGACCAAUCCUGGGUGUUCAUUGGAAGGACUGAUGCUGAAGCUGAAACUCCAAUACUUUGGCCACCUCAUGCGAAGAGUUGACUCAUUGGAAAAGACCCUGAUGCUGGGAGGGAUUGGAGGCAGGAGGAGAACGGGACAACAGAGGAUGAGAUGGCUAGAUGGCAUCACGGGCGUGAUGGACAUGAGUCUGAGUGAACUCCAGGAGUUGGUGAUAGACAGGGAGGCCUGGUGUGCUGUGAUUCAUGGGGUUGCAAAGAGUCGGACACGACUGAGCAACUGAACUGAAAGACUGAAGUUAAUCUGAUUUUUUAAAACUAAUAUUCAAUUUACUAAACCUUGCUUUUCCUUGAUUUCAACUGACAUUUUACAAUUCCAUUCAUUAAUCUACUCUAUGAAGUUGGCAGAAUCUUAACUUCCUGACCAGGGACUGAACCCCAGGCCCUCAGCAAUCAUGGAAUCCUAACCACUGGACUGCCAGGGAAUUUUUUUUUUUUUUCCAUUCUUCCACUCAUUCAAUCAGUAUCUACUGAGUCUUCCUUUAUGAGAGCCCCUGCCCUAGCAGGUGGACAUACAGCAAUAAAUAAUAGACACAAAAAAUAAAUGAAGAGAUGAUUAAAUAUAAUUUGCUUCUCUGGCAAAAAUUUACAGACUGAUAAUAUCAAAUGCUGGUGGGGAUGUGGAAAAAAUGCUGAGCAGCACUUACAGUUGCAGUUCAUCAGCAUGGAGUUCUAAAUGAG